UACGUAGGGUGCGAGCGUUGUCCGGAAUUACUGGGCGUAAAGAGCUCGUAGGUGGUUUGUCGCGUUGUUCGUGAAAACUCACAACUCAAUUGUGGGCGUGCGGGCGAUACGGGCAGACUGGAGUACUGCAGGGGAGACUGGAAUUCCUGGUGUAGCGGUGGAAUGCGCAGAUAUCAGGAGGAACACCAGUGGCGAAGGCGGGUCUCUGGGCAGUAACUGACACUGAUGCGCGACAGCAUGGGGAGCAAACAGG
rnacentral:rRNA from 1 species